UGUGAAGUGCCUGAUUAAAGGACGUUUUUGAUAAGAACGAUAAUACAUAUUUAUAUAUGUCUUCAUUA
rnacentral:tRNA from 1 species